AAAAUGUCAAACAAAGCCCUCUGGAUCCAGUUAAAAUGAAGAAUGAUGCAGAAAAUGUCAAAUAUAGAGAGACAGGGUCAACCUCCAGACUCUCCAGCAGUGAAAGUGAGGAGACGGAUUCCUCUGCUUAAUCAACGACAUCAGUGACCUCCGAGAUUGCCAGCAUGCUUGUCUCAGAGACACUGGAUCGGGCUGCUGCUAAUAUGAAUGAGCUAACACACUCUAUAUCCAGGUGGGAAGCUGAGGAACAAAAGUCAGAGACUGGCCAAUCAUACGGUACUGACUUGAAACCUGGCUCUCCAUGUCCAGAAUCUCCCACUGGCUCAAUGUGCUCCAUUGAGGACAUUAAGGAUACGACAAUGGCAGACCUACACUCAGGCCCUCCGGGACUGAUGGAUGUGGAGGAUGAUGACUUCACACCAGAAGAGAAACCUUCAAAACCUUCCUCAAAACCAUCCACCACCAGAUCAACACCACCAGCAGAGCAUCGCAAAGAGACGUCUUCAGUCUUAACAGAGAAAGACAUGAACAAAGACUCAACUGCAGGAACUGUGCAAGAAGAGGAUGUCACACCAGAGGGUGUCAUGGAGUCAUUCAUGGAUGACAACCUGGUCACAGAAAUGGACUCAACAUUGAAAGAAACUUAUUUGACAUGAUCUCCAUGUCCUGAAGAGAUGUGUACCGCAGACUCAAUAUGCUCCAGCGAGGAGAUCGGGAAUGCAACAAAAGCAGACAUAAGCUCAGUCCCUCUGGAACUUGUGGAUGUGGAGGAUGAGGUCUUUACACUAGAAGAGAAACCAUCCACCACCAGCUCAUCACCACUAGCAGAGCAUUGUAAGGGGAGGUCUACAUGGUGUCACACUAGAUGGUGUCAUGGAGCUAUUCAUGAACAACAUCCUGGUCACAGACAUGGCAUGGCAUACACUUAGCAUCUAAAGACACAAAACCAGGAUCUCUGUGUCCAGAAGGGAUUUCUCUCACCGCCUUAAUGUGCUCCAGUGAAGACAUCAGGGAUGCAACAAAAGCAGACCUAAGCUCAGUACCUCUGGAAUUUGUGGAUGUUGGGGAUGAGGACGUCACACCAGUAGAGCAUGGCAAAGAGAGGCCUUCAGACACAAAACCAUCCACCACCAGUUCGGACACAGAGAAAGACUUGUACAGGGACUCAGCUCCAGGAACCUCAUGACAGGACAAACAUUUUACAGAGAACAGCGGAGCAGCGUCAGAAGCCCAGCUCACUGGCCUGAAAAACACCUUUCACACCAUAAUCAAGGGAUUCUUUGACAGUUUUACUGAAGGAGCGGAGCGAAAUAUGCAAAGGUGUUUAUAGCUCUUUUGGGCAGUCUUUGUGUGAUGUGAUUCGUUCGGACACGGUGUUUAGGGUAACACCCAAUUUGACGUUGGCCAUUGUGAAAUCGAUCACAGAUGAUGGAACUUCCAAUGUCUAUGCUGCUACCUGCUGCCAGGUCUCAAGUUCCAGAGCAUGCAACAAGAUGUUGGCAGGAGUUACCCAGGCAAUGAAAUCCCUCCUCAAAGGUCUAGGUACUGCAAGAAAGAAGACAUUUCAGACUGAAAGGACACAAAAAUAUACAGAUUGUGAGACUAAAGAUGACAGAUUGUCACAUUACAUCAAAGUACACAAGAAGAAUUUGCGGUGUUGGAGCUUUUGCAAGUGGCAGAAGAAUAAGAUCCAGCCAGAGACUUGUCUGGAGGAGGAAGUCACAGAUUACCGAGAUAGCCCAUUGUUGUCCAAAACUCAGGCGAAGAAGAAGGAGGAGGACAACAAGGGUUCAGCUCAAGAUCAGGUCCAGCUGUCCAGACAAAAAGGCCCUCUUUGCUGAAGAGAAUCCGCCUGUUCUACCGUCGCCUGAGCUGCUGGUCCCAUGAAUGAGUGACGCCCUUUGAACCCACUUAACUAACCACAAACUCUAUUCCCUCUCUCUACUAUCUUACCUUCCCUCUACUCCCCAUUUCCUCCCCUUCUGCUCAACUUCACCCACCCAACCCCACUCUAACCUUCUCUCCCCCUCCCUUUACUCUCUCAACCCCUCACCUUCCCUUUACUUCCCCUCAUCCCCUUACCUUCUCUCUUCUACCCCAUCAUUCCAACCCCUGACUCCCCUCUUUUUACCUCCCACCUUGCUCUACUUCACCCACCCAACUGCACUCUAUCCCCACUCUAUCUCUACUCUCACAAGCAGCAUAAUGAUUUGGUGACAGGUUAGCAUUGUUGUCUCAAACCCCACCAUAUUCCUAAUAAAUUGACUGCAAAUUA